rnacentral:rRNA from 1 species
GGAGUUUGGGCCGUGUCUCAGUCCCAAUGUGGCCGGUCACCCUCUCAGGUCGGCUACUGAUCGUCGCCUUGGGGAGCCGUUACCUCUCCAACUAGCUAAUCAGACGCGGGUCCAUCCUAUACCACCUCAGUUUUUCACACAUUAUCAUGCGAUAUCGUGCGCUUAUGCGGUAUUAUCAGUCGUUUCCAACUGCUAUCCCCCUGUAUAGGGCAGGUUACCCACGCGUUACUCACCCGUCCGCCACUAAGUAACGAAAAGCAAGCUUCUCAUCCUUCGCUCGACUUGCAUGUGUUAGGCACGCCGCCAGCGUUCAUC